GAUGAACGCUGGCGGCGUGCUUAACACAUGCAAGUCGAACGAUGAAGCCCAGCUUGCUGGGUGGAUUAGUGGCGAACGGGUGAGUAACACGUGAGUAACCUGCCCUUAACUCUGGGAUAAGCCUGGGAAACUGGGUCUAAUACCGGAUAGGAGCGUCCACCGCAUGGUGGGUGUUGGAAAGAUUUAUCGGUUUUGGAUGGACUCGCGGCCUAUCAGCUUGUUGGUGAGGUAAUGGCUCACCAAGGCGACGACGGGUAGCCGGCCUGAGAGGGUGACCGGCCACACUGGGACUGAGACACGGCCCAGACUCCUACGGGAGGCAGCAGUGGGGAAUAUUGCACAAUGGGCGCAAGCCUGAUGCAGCGACGCCGCGUGAGGGAUGACGGCCUUCGGGUUGUAAACCUCUUUCAGUAGGGAAGAAGCGAAAGUGACGGUACCUGCAGAAGAAGCACUGGCUAACUACGUG
rnacentral:rRNA from 1 species